rnacentral:rRNA from 1 species
GUGCAGCAGGCGAGAAACUUCACAAUGUGCGAAAGCACGAUGAGGGAAUCCCAAGUGCUUGCACGUAAGUGUAAGCUGUUUCUCUGUCUAAAACGCAGAGAGAGUAAGGGCUGGGUAAGACGGGUGCCAGCCGCCGCGGUAAUACCUGCAGCUCGAGUGGUGACCGUUAUUAUUGGGCCUAAAACGUCCGUAGCCGGUUUAAUAAAUGCCUGGGUAAAUCGGACCGCUUAACGGUUCGAAUUCCGGGUAGACUGUUAAACUUGAGACCGGGAGAAGUUAGAGGUACUCCUGGGGUAGAGGUGAAAUUCUGUAAUCCUAGGGGGACCACCAGUGGCGAAGGCGUCUAACUAGAACGGGUCUGACGGUGAGGGACGAAGCCCUGGGGCGC